UACGGGGGGGGCAAGCGUUGUUCGGAAUUACUGGGCGUAAAGGGCUCGUAGGUGGCCAACUAAGUCAUACGUGAAAUCCCUCGGCUUAACCGGGGAACUGCGUCUGAUACUGGAUGGCUUGAGGUUGGGAGAGGGAUGCGGAAUUCCAGGUGUAGCGGUGAAAUGCGCAGAUAUCUGGAGGAAUACCGGUGGCGAAGGCGGCAUCCUGGACCAUUACUGACGCUGAGGCGCGAAAGCUAGGGGAGCAAACAGG
rnacentral:rRNA from 1 species